GCAAGUCGAACGGUGAAGCAGAGCUUGCUCUGUGGAUCAGUGGCGAACGGGUGAGUAACACGUGAGCAAUCUGCCCCUGACUCUGGGAUAAGCGCUGGAAACGGUGUCUAAUACUGGAUAUGAGCUGUGACCGCAUGGUCGGCAGUUGGAAAGAUUUUUCGGUCAGGGAUGAGCUCGCGGCCUAUCAGCUUGUUGGUGAGGUAAUGGCUCACCAAGGCGUCGACGGGUAGCCGGCCUGAGAGGGUGACCGGCCACACUGGGACUGAGACACGGCCCAGACUCCUACGGGAGGCAGCAGUGGGGAAUAUUGCACAAUGGGCGGAAGCCUGAUGCAGCAACGCCGCGUGAGGGAUGACGGCCUUCGGGUUGUAAACCUCUUUUAGCAGGGAAGAAGCUUUUGUGACGGUACCUGCAGAAAAAGCGCCGGCUAACUACGUGCCAGCAGCCGCGGUAAUACGUAGGGCGCAAGCGUUAUCCGGAAUUAUUGGGCGUAAAGAGCUCGUAGGCGGUUUGUCGCGUCUGCUGUGAAAUCCCGAGGCUCAACCUCGGGCCUGCAGUGGGUACGGGCAGACUAGAGUGCGGUAGGGGAGAUUGGAAUUCCUGGUGUAGCGGUGGAAUGCGCAGAUAUCAGGAGGAACACCGAUGGCGAAGGCAGAUCUCUGGGCCGUAACUGACGCUGAGGAGCGAAAGGGUGGGGAGCAAACAGGCUUAGAUACCCUGGUAGUCCACCCCGUAAACGUUGGGAACUAGUUGUGGGGUCCAUUCCACGGAUUCCGUGACGCAGCUAACGCAUUAAGUUCCCCGCCUGGGGAGUACGGCCGCAAGGCUAAAACUCAAAGGAAUUGACGGGGACCCGCACAAGCGGCGGAGCAUGCGGAUUAAUUCGAUGCAACGCGAAGAACCUUACCAAGGCUUGACAUACGCGAGAACGCCGUAGAGAUACGGAACUCUUUGGACACUCGUGAACAGGUGGUGCAUGGUUGUCGUCAGCUCGUGUCGUGAGAUGUUGGGUUAAGUCCCGCAACGAGCGCAACCCUCGUUCUAUGUUGCCAGCACGUAAUGGUGGGAACUCAUGGGAUACUGCCGGGGUCAACUCGGAGGAAGGUGGGGAUGACGUCAAAUCAUCAUGCCCCUUAUGUCUUGGGCUUCACGCAUGCUACAAUGGCCGGUACAAAGGGCUGCGAUACCGUAAGGUGGAGCGAAUCCCAAAAAGCCGGUCCCAGUUCGGAUUGAGGUCUGCAACUCGACCUCAUGAAGUCGGAGUCGCUAGUAAUCGCAGAUCAGCAACGCUGCGGUGAAUACGUUCCCGGGUCUUGUACACACCGCACGUCAAGUCAUGAAAGUCGGUAACACCUGAAGCCGGUGGCCUAACC
rnacentral:rRNA from 1 species